CCUACGGGAGGCAGCAGUGAGGAAUAUUGGUCAAUGGACGAGAGUCUGAACCAGCCAAGCCGCGUGAAGGAUGACUGUCCUGUGUGUUGUAAACCUCUUUUGUCAGGGAAUAAAACGAGGCACGUGUGCCUGUUUGAGUGUACUUUAAGAAUAAGCAUCGGCUAACUCCGUGCCAGCAGCCGCGGUAAUACGGAGGAUCCGAGCGUUAUCCGGAUUUAUUGGGUUUAAAGGGAGCGUAGGUGGGUUGUUAAGUCAGUUGUGAAAGUCUGGGGCUCAACCGUAAGAUCGCAGUUGAUACUGGCAGUCUUGAGUAGAGGAGAGGUAUGCGGAAUGCGUGGUGUAGCGGUGAAAUGCAUAGAUAUCACGAAGAACCCCGAUUGCGAAGGCAGCUUACUGG
rnacentral:rRNA from 1 species